rnacentral:rRNA from 1 species
AUUGAACGUUGGCGGCAGGCCUAACACAUGCAAGUCGCGCGCGCCGCGGCUCGGUGUGUAAUGUCUUGGCAUCUGCCUGUUGGAGGGGGAUCACUACUGGAAACGGUAGCUAAUACCGAAUACCAUCAGAUGUGCCCAGAUGGGAUUAGCUAGUAGGUGGGGUAAUGGGUCACCUAGGCGAAUAUCCCUAGCUGGUCUGAGAGGAUGACCAUCCACACUGGACAUGAGACACGGUCCAGUCUCCUACGGGAGGCAGCAGUGGGGAAUCUUGGACAAUGGGCGCAAGCCUGAUGCAGCCAUGCCGCGUGUGUGAAGAAGGCCUUCGAGUUGUAAAGCACUGUCGGCGGGGAGACGUUACUAGCAGAGGACGCACCGACAAACUUCGUACCAGCAGCCGCGGUAAUAC